rfam:Jatropha curcas cultivar GZQX0401 scaffold55_116, whole genome shotgun sequence.
AAAUUAUGGUGUGGACACUUCCUCAAUAAAUCCUUGAAUCUCUCCCAACCCUCAUACAGACUUUCUUGAUCAUGGUGAGCAAAAGUCAUUAUCUCAUUAUAAAGCU